UACGUAGGGGGCAAGCGUUGUCCGGAAUCAUUGGGCGUAAAGCGCGUGUAGGCGGCCAGGUAAGUCCGUUCUGAAAGCCCGGGGCUCAACCCCGGGAGGCGGAUGGAUACUGCUUGGCUCGAGUCCGGAAGAGGCGAGUGGAAUUCCCGGUGUAGCGGUGAAAUGCGCAGAUAUCGGGAGGAACACCAAUGGCGAAGGCAGCUCGCUGGGACGGUACUGACGCUGAGACGGCGAAAGCGUGGGGAGCAAACAGGAU
rnacentral:rRNA from 1 species